rnacentral:tRNA from 1 species
UGGCUCAGUUGGUAGAGCAUGGUGUGUGCAACACCAGGGUUGUGGGCUCGAUUCCCAC